GUUUUUAUUGUUUAGUUUUCAAGCUCUAUAAACAGUUAUUGUGAAAGUUUCCUCUAUUUUUGGUUCGUGCAGAAAUUUAAGCUACAAGGCACAACAAUUUCCCCACUUUUGGAUUCUUUUGUUCCAAAUGGGUCAUGGCACAGGACCACCCUAACGAUAGGCUAAACUAAAGAAAUAAUCUUGCAUAACCUUGGAGCAAACAGAUUUUGUUGUCAUGCCUGUGUAAGGAAAAUUUACAAUCCCUAUUGUUAUUAACUUACAAAACAGGUUUUGAGCUUUUGCAC
rnacentral:lncRNA from 1 species